UGGGGAAUAUUGGACAAUGGGCGAAAGCCUGAUCCAGCCAUGCCGCGUGUGUGAAGAAGGUCUUCGGAUUGUAAAGCACUUUAAGUUGGGAGGAAGGGCAGUAAGCGAAUACCUUGCUGUUUUGACGUUUCCGACAGAAUAAGCACCGGCUAACUCUGUGCCAGCAGCCGCGGUAAUACAGAGGGUGCAAGCGUUAAUCGGAAUUACUGGGCGUAAAGCGCGCGUAGGUGGUUCGUUAAGUUGAAUGUGAAAGCCCCGGGCUCAACCUGGGAACUGCAUCCAAAACUGGCGAGCUAGAGUAGGGCAGAGGGUGGUGGAAUUUCCUGUGUAGCGGUGAAAUGCGUAGAUAUAGGAAGGAACACCAGUGGCGAAGGCGACCACCUGGGCUCAUACUGACACUGAGGUGCGAAAGCGUGGGGAGCAAACAGG
rnacentral:rRNA from 1 species